AACGCACAUUGCGCCCCUUGGUAUUCCAUGGGGCAUGCCUGUUCGAGCGUCAUUUGUACCCUCAAGCCUUGCUUGGUGUUGGGCGUUUGUCUCGCUUUCACGCGUGGACUCGCCUCAAAACGAUUGGCAGCCGGCAAACCGGUGCAGAGCGCAGCACAUUUUGCGCUUCUCUCCGCGAGGCCGGGCGUCCAUGAAGCCUCCACUCUAGCUCUUGACCUCGGAUCAGGUAGGGAUACCCGCUGAACUUAA
rnacentral:misc_RNA from 2 species